rnacentral:rRNA from 1 species
CGUAUCACUUAAAGCGAUUCAGCGGGUUACGAUUGACGGAGCGAAGCGACGUCAAAGCGUAUACAAAGUCGAGUCGGUUUAAGGAUACGUUCGUUGGGUAGGGGAGCGUUCUGUAAGCCUGUGAAGGUGGCCUGUGAGGGUUGCUGGAGGUAUCAGAAGUGCGAAUGCUGACAUAAGUAACGAUAAAGCGGGUGAAAAGCCCGCUCGCCGGAAGACCAAGGGUUCCUGUCCAACGUUAAUCGGGGCAGGGUGAGUCGACCCCUAAGGCGAGGCCGAAAGGCGUAGUCGAUGGGAAACGGGUUAAUAUUCCCGUACUUGGUGUUACUGCGAAGGGGGGACGGAGAAGGCUAUGUUGGCCGGGCGACGGUUGUCCCGGUUUAAGCGUGUAGGUGUGUGUUCCAGGUAAAUCCGGUUCACUUUAACACUGAGGCGUGAUGACGAGGCACUACGGUGCUGAAGUAACAAAUGCCCUGCUUCCAGGAAAAGCCUCUAAGCAUCAGGUAACAUCAAAUCGUACCCCAAACCGACACAGGUGGUCAGGUAGAGAAUACCAAGGCGCUUGAGAGAACUCGGGUGAAGGAACUAGGCAAAAUGGUGCCGUAACUUCGGGAGAAGGCACGCUGACACGUAGGUGAAGUGAUUUACUCAUGGAGCUGAAGUCAGUCGAAGAUACCAGCUGGCUGCAACU